rnacentral:sRNA from 1 species
UGUUCUUUUGGUUUGGACAGCGGUUUGAUUCCACCCUCCUUUAUC